GUAAGCUACUAAGAGCGAAUGGUGGAUGCCUUGACUGGUAAAGGCGAUGAAGGACGUACUAGACUGCGAUAAGCUACGGGGAGCUGUCAAGAAGCUUUGAUCCGUAGAUUUCCGAAUGGGGCAACCCAAUGUAUAGAGAUAUACAUUACCUAUAUAGGAGCGAACGAGGGGAAUUGAAACAUCUUAGUACCCUCAGGAAAAGAAAUCAAUAGAGAUUGCGUCAGUAGCGGCGAGCGAAAGCGCAAGAGGGCAAACCCAGUGCUUGCACUGGGGGUUGUAGGACUGCAAUGUGCAAGAGGUGAGUUUAGCAGAACAUUCUGGAAAGUAUAGCCAUAGAGGGUGAUAGUCCCGUAUGCGAAAAACAAACCUUAGCUAGCAGUAUCCUGAGUAGGGCGGGACACGAGAAAUCCUGUCUGAAGCCGGGUCGACCACGAUCCAACCCUAAAUACUAAUACCAGAUCGAUAGUGCACAAGUACCGUGAGGGAAAGGUGAAAAGAACUGAGGUGAUCAGAGUGAAAUAGAACCUGAAACCAUUUGCUUACAAUCAUUCAGAGCACUAUGUAGCAAUACAGUGUGAUGGACUGCCUUUUGCAUAAUGAGCCUGCGAGUUGUGGUGUCUGGCAAGGUUAAGCAAACGCGAAGCCGUAGCGAAAGCGAGUCUGAAUAGGGCGCUUAGUCAGAUGCUGCAGACCCGAAACGAAGUGAUCUAUCCAUGAGCAAGUUGAAGCUAGUGUAAGAACUAGUGGAGGACUGAACCCAUAGGCGUUGAAAAGCCCCGGGAUGACUUGUGGAUAGGGGUGAAAGGCCAAUCAAACUUCGUGAUAGCUGGUUCUCUCCGAAAUAUAUUUAGGUAUAGCGUUGUGUCGUAAUAUAAGGGGGUAGAGCACUGAAUGGGCUAGGGCAUACACCAAUGUACCAAACCCUAUCAAACUCCGAAUACCUUAUAUGUAAUCACAGCAGUCAGGCGGCGAGUGAUAAAAUCCGUCGUCAAGAGGGAAACAACCCAGACUACCAGCUAAGGUCCCUAAAUCUUACUUAAGUGGAAAACGAUGUGAAGUUACUUAAACAACCAGGAGGUUGGCUUAGAAGCAGCCAUCCUUUAAAGAAAGCGUAAUAGCUCACUGGUCUAGUGAUUUUGCGCGGAAAAUAUAACGGGGCUAAAGUAAGUACCGAAGCUGUAGACUUGACUUUGUCAAGUGGUAGGAGAGCGUUCUAUUUGCGUCGAAGGUAUACCGGUAAGGAGUGCUGGAGCGAAUAGAAGUGAGCAUGCAGGCAUGAGUAGCGAUAAUUAAUGUGAGAAUCAUUAACGCCGUAAACCCAAGGUUUCCUACGCGAUGCUCGUCAUCGUAGGGUUAGUCGGGUCCUAAGUCGAGUCCGAAAGGGGUAGACGAUGGCAAAUUGGUUAAUAUUCCAAUACCAACAUUAGUGUGCGAUGGAAGGACGCUUAGGGCUAAGGGGGCUAGCGGAUGGAAGUGCUAGUCUAAGGUCGUAGGUGCUUAUACAGGCAAAUCCGUAUAAGAAUACACCGAGAACUGAAAGGCUUUUUGAAGUCUUCGGAUGGAUAGAAGAACCCCUGAUGCCGUCGAGCCAAGAAAAGUUUCUAAGUUUAGCUAAUGUUGCCCGUACCGUAAACCGACACAGGUGGGUGGGAUGAGUAUUCUAAGGCGCGUGGAAGAACUCUCUUUAAGGAACUCUGCAAAAUAGCACCGUAUCUUCGGUAUAAGGUGUGGUUCGCUUCGUAUUAGGAUUUACUCCGAAAGCGAAGAAACUUACAACAAAGAGUCCCUCCCGACUGUUUACCAAAAACACAGCACUCUGCUAACUCGUAAGAGGAUGUAUAGGGUGUGACGCCUGCCCGGUGCUCGAAGGUUAAUUGAUGGGGUUAGCAUUAGCGAAGCUCUUGAUCGAAGCCCGAGUAAACGGCGGCCGUAACUAUAACGGUCCUAAGGUAGCGAAAUUCCUUGUCGGUUAAAUACCGACCUGCAUGAAUGGCGUAACGAGAUGGGAGCUGUCUCAAAGAGGGAUCCAGUGAAAUUGUAGUGGAGGUGAAAAUUCCUCCUACCCGCGGCAAGACGGAAAGACCCCGUGGACCUUUACUACAGCUUGACACUGCUACUUGGAUAAGAAUGUGCAGGAUAGGUGGGAGGCUUUGAGUAUAUGACGCCAGUUGUAUAUGAGCCAUUGUUGAGAUACCACUCUUUCUUAUUUGGGUAGCUAACCAGCUUGAGUUAUCCUCAAGUGGGACAAUGUCUGGUGGGUAGUUUGACUGGGGCGGUCGCCUCCCAAAUAAUAACGGAGGCUUACAAAGGUUGGCUCAGAACGGUUGGAAAUCGUUCGUAGAGUAUAAAGGUAUAAGCCAGCUUAACUGCAAGACAUACAAGUCAAGCAGAGACGAAAGUCGGUCUUAGUGAUCCGGUGGUUCUGUGUGGAAGGGCCAUCGCUCAAAGGAUAAAAGGUACCCCGGGGAUAACAGGCUGAUCUCCCCCAAGAGCUCACAUCGACGGGGAGGUUUGGCACCUCGAUGUCGGCUCAUCGCAUCCUGGGGCUGGAGCAGGUCCCAAGGGUAUGGCUGUUCGCCAUUUAAAGCGGUACGCGAGCUGGGUUCAGAACGUCGUGAGACAGUUCGGUCCCUAUCUGCCGUGGGCGUAAGAAGAUUGAAGAGAUUUGACCCUAGUACGAGAGGACCGGGUUGAACAAACCACUGGUGUAGCUGUUGUUCUGCCAAGAGCAUCGCAGCGUAGCUAAGUUUGGAAAGGAUAAACGCUGAAAGCAUCUAAGCGUGAAGCCAACUCUAAGAUGAAUCUUCUCUAAGCUCUCUAGAAGACUACUAGUUUGAUAGGCUGGGUGUGUAAUGGAUGAAAGUCCUUUAGCUGACCAGUACUAAUAGAGCGUUUGGCUUAUCUUU
rnacentral:rRNA from 1 species